AGCGAACGCUGGCGGCAGGCUUAACACAUGCAAGUCGAGCGGGCCUUUCGGGGUCAGCGGCGGACGGGUGAGUAACGCGUGGGAACGCGCCCUCUGGUUCGGAAUAACUCAGGGAAACUUGAGCUAAUACCGGAUACGCCCUUUUGGGGAAAGGCUUGCUGCCGGAGGAUCGGCCCGCGUCUGAUUAGCUAGUUGGUGAGGUAACGGCUCACCAAGGCGACGAUCAGUAGCUGGUCUGAGAGGAUGAUCAGCCACACUGGGACUGAGACACGGCCCAGACUCCUACGGGAGGCAGCAGUGGGGAAUAUUGGACAAUGGGCGCAAGCCUGAUCCAGCCAUGCCGCGUGAGUGAUGAAGGCCUUAGGGUUGUAAAGCUCUUUUAUCCGGGACGAUAAUGACGGUACCGGAGGAAUAAGCCCCGGCUAACUUCGU
rnacentral:rRNA from 1 species